ACAUCCAGCGAACUUGGCAGAGAUGCCUUGGUGCCUUCGGGAACGCUGAGACAGGUGCUGCAUGGCUGUCGUCAGCUCGUGUUGUGAAAUGUUGGGUUAAGUCCCGCAACGAGCGCAACCCUUAUCCUUGUUGCCAGCGAUUCGGUCGGGAACUCAAAGGAGACUGCCGGUGAUAAACCGGAGGAAGGUGGGGAUGACGUCAAGUCAUCAUGGCCCUUACGAGUAGGGCUACACACGUGCUACAAUGGCGCAUACAAAGAGAAGCGACCUCGCGAGAGCAAGCGGACCUCAUAAAGUGCGUCGUAGUCCGGAUCGGAGUCUGCAACUCGACUCCGUGAAGUCGGAAUCGCUAGUAAUCGUGGAUCAGAAUGCCACGGUGAAUACGUUCCCGGGCCUUGUACACACCGCCCGUCACACCAUGGGAGUGGGUUGCAAAAGAAGUAGGUAGCUUAACCUUCGGGAGGGCGCUUACCACUUUGUGAUUCAUGACUGGGGUGAAGUCGUAACAAGGUAAGCGUAGCGAG
rnacentral:rRNA from 1 species